rnacentral:tRNA from 1 species
GGAGAGGUGGCCGAGUCCGGUUGAAGGCGACUGACUCGAAAUCAGUUCAGGUCGUAAGGCCUGCGUGGGUUCGAAUCCCACCCUCUCCG